UCUAGAACUUGAGAUAUGGGCUGAACAGUGUUUGGGCUGCAUGACAGAUUCAGACGUCUCUUUUGUUGCUAUGAUUUGAGCUUGAAAACGACCGUUUUGAAUCUUGGGGUCUUUAUGAAAGUUUUAGGCCUUUGUCUUAACUUUCCAUC
rfam:Populus trichocarpa scaffold_2_contig_94, whole genome shotgun sequence.